AGAGAGGAAUUAUGAGCCAACAUCCCCAGCAGGAGGUGCAUUUAAUGAAAUCACUUGUGAUUUAUGUCUGGGGGAGGUUGGAGAAGGAAGAAUCUGGAACCCAGACAUCCUGCUUCUAGAAAGGUGGCCGUCAGCCAAUGAAAACUUAGGAUGCGCUCACCACCAGCAGCCAAUCCCAGUGAAGGAUGAGCCGAACUGCCAGGCCUAAUUGCAUCUUGAUUGGUUGUGAUGUUGCUAGGCAGAAAUGAGGUCCCGGAGAUCGCUGCGGGCAAGACCGGAGAGACAGGUGGAUAUGAGAAUAUCUGGAAACAUAGACUCUUGGAUUGUCAUUUUUCUUCCUGAGCUCCUUCAUUCUUAAAGGAUUAAUGGGGUCAGGGGAAUCACUCUUCCUUUUCUCCUCCACAGUGGGACAGAGCCAAAUAGUUACCGUUUCCCCAAAACGCCUUCAGAGAAAUCUGGCUGCCUCGAAGGUGUUCUAAUCCAAAAAAAAAAAAAUAUCCCCCGGAGGUAUUCCAGCCUCAUACUCAGUCUCCCCAUUUAGGAAGUCCUUUCUGAGGCCUCCCUUCAAGCCUCCUGGCUGUAGUUUAUGAACCAUUUUCUCUAACAU
ensembl:lncRNA